GUGUUUUCAUUAAGAUCAGAGUAUUUUCACUUCUUAAUUGAUGAUUUUCCUCCUGAAGUUUAAUUAUAUUGUUUUUGGCUAUUGCUAACUCUUCAAUCAGUUUAGUGUUUGACUUCUCUAACGAAUCAACUCUUGCAUGUAGACUGCUAACUGUGCUAUUCAGUUGUCUGUUUAGUUCUUCAACAUAAUUCUUUUGGUCCAAAAUUGCAGCAAUCUG
rnacentral:lncRNA from 1 species